rnacentral:rRNA from 1 species
UACGAAGGGGGCUAGCGUUGCUCGGAAUCACUGGGCGUAAAGGCGCGUAGGCGGCCAUUCAAGUCGGGGGUGAAAGCCUGUGGCUCAACCACAGAAUUGCCUUCGAUACUGUUUGGCUUGAGUCUGGUAGAGGUUGGUGGAACUGCGAGUGUAGAGGUGAAAUUCGUAGAUAUUCGCAAGAACACCAGUGGCGAAGGCGGCUUACUGGUCCGGAACUGA